rnacentral:rRNA from 1 species
AGCAGCCGCGGUAAUUCCAGCUCCAAUAGCGUAUAUUAAAGUUGUUGCAGUUAAAAAGCUCGUAGUUGAAUUUCGGGGUUAGUAGGUUGGUCGUGCCACCGGUAUGUACUGGCUCUACUGAUCCCUCCUUCUUGUAGAACCGUAAUGCCAUUAACUUGGUGUUGCGGGGAAACAGGACUGUUACUUUGAAAAAUUAGAGUGUUUAAAGCAGGCUAACGCUUGAAUACGUUAGCAUGGAAUAAUGAAAUAGGACGCUCGAUCCUAUUUUGUUGGUUUCUAGGAUUGACGUAAUGAUUAAUAGGGAUAGUUGGGGGCAUUAGUAUUCAAUUGUCAGAGGUGAAAUUCUUGGAUUUAUUGAAGACUAACUACUGCGAAAGCAUUUGCCAAGGAUGUUUUCAUUAAUCAAGAACGAAAGUUAGGGGAUCGAAGACGAUCAGAUACCGUCGUAGUCUUAACCAUAAACUAUGCCGACUAGGGAUCGGAUGAUGUUAAUUUUUUAAUGUACUCAUUCGGCGCCUUA